rnacentral:misc_RNA from 1 species
CACGGAAAACCUGGUAGGGGCGGCUCCAUCUCCGUUGAGCGAGCGCCCUCGGUCUCCAUUCUUUGCUCGGCUUUUGCUGCCAUUGCUGUCUUGCUAUGCGCACCAUUGCGCUGGGACGAUACCACUGGCCGGACGCCAGCAAGCGACGCUGACACAGCGGUGGUCGGCGAAGAGUGAGGUGGAGGGAGAAGAGGAUUGCCGCGCUCGUGUCGAUCGCAGCGUGCGCGGUCCCCAGACGCUUGGAGUUGCGAAGUUUUCUGCUUCGUAUCCCUUCCCUGGUGCCCACUGCCGUACGUGAGCAGGGCUUCGACGCAAGCGGCUUUGCAUCUUUUUUCAUUGAGAGGGGCCCCAGCGCUGAUUUGCGUGUGCUGCAGAGCGCGAUGUACCGGUACGUUGCUUCACGUCAACGAUGUGGUGUGUGCGACCACUUCGGCUUUGUCACAGACACAUCCGAGCGCUGGACUUCGGCGACCGCGCUUGCGUGUCUGCGCCGAUCCAAGCAUGAUCAGCAUCCCCAGCAGCAAGAACGUGCACAUGCGAUUCCCACUUCACGCACCGUGAAGCUGCGGCGUGCCAUGUGGAUGCGUAUGCACCCAGUGGAGCGCUGGACCUCGCUCGUGGAUCUUGGCCGGCGUAGCGCGUACUUAAUUGAGAAGCCUGCUCGACUGUCGCCGUCGGCAGCGCGUGAAGUGUCAGGCAAGUCCACGCCGGUCUCCAGCGACGGCCGUGGCAGUGCAUCGGUGCUAGGGAGUGCAGACCCAAAGGUGCGCUUCACACCGGAGGCUACAGAGGCACAUUGGCAACUGUGCCAUGCGCUGCCCUACGCUGCACGCCUCCAUCUCUGCCUUUCGGCGCUUCUGUGGAUCCGCUGCUUGCAGGAUGUGCAGGACACACUGGCGCGGGUGCGGCUGCCGUUUGCCGCGGUGCGGCGCCCAGAGCGAUACGCCGUGGCGGACGUCUUCCCAACUCGCUUGAGGGAAUACUGGGUCGAUGCACACACCACCGUGUCGACCAAGAUGAGCGCCCAGCUGAACUCGACGGCGGAGCAGAUCCCGGCGCCGCACGCGUGGGACGCUGAGACGUCGGAGACCAUCGAGGACGCAGCGACAGAGGCCACGAUGACGCUGGAUGCGGGCCGCGUGUUGCAUGGACGCCACCAAGCCCGCCGAAGCGGAAAGACGCUCUUGCACCAGGUGCAGGGGUUGCAGCCGCGGGCGAGUGCUGAGGACGACAUAGCAGCGCGACUGACGGGCACAGGGUCGCCGAGUGGCAGCCGACGCCGCCGCCGUCGGCUGCCGACUGCAUCGUCGCUAGCGCCCCAUGCCCUCUCCGUGGAGUCUGCCCCCGCGUCUUCGGCGUGGCCGGGCUCACUUGAGUUCGCCUCUGAUGCAUCUCGCCACGUGCCGCCGGUGUCGCUAGAAACGGAGCCGCUCGAGGACGCAGCUUACCACGGCAACGACAACCGCGGCGAGGGUUGCCCGCUGAACCAAGACGGAAAGGCGUCGCCGACGCCCAUCUUCAUCUGGGUCCCACCCACCAUGCAUAGUGCCGCCGCCAGUCCCGGCGGCGCGCUGCCUACUGAGGCGGAGCUUCUCGUGAGGUACUGCGUCAUGGCGCACGCCGCGGUUUUAUCCAGUCUGUUUAUCGAGGGCCGCGUGGUGGACUUCGGCAGCAACCACCCGCUGGUAGUCGCCUACGUGCGGUGGCUGCUCGACGAGCUUGUGCUGGAGCACUUUGUGUCUGUGUCCUUGCUCGCUGAGGCUGAGGUGGCUGGGUACCGACCUUAUUAUCCACACUGGUGCUGGCGCACUGUACUCGUGCUGAUGCCCCCCAAGUACUGCGGCGGCUACUCAGCCGCGCUGCUGCGAGACUGGGCUUCACGCAUUGUACAGGCGGCCCCAUGCUCUGUACUGGUGGAAGGCCAUGCUGGUGCAGGGUAUGUCAAGCAGCUGAAGGAGGAGGUGCGACUGCUACAAAACGCUCUUGAUGACGCAGAGGGCAUGAGGGCGGUGGCGUGGGUGGCGGUAGGCGUUACGGUUCCCGUGGAAACUGCGCCAAGAGAGAGCGCCGCCAGCGCUGCUGGGGCAGCUGCCAGUGACAGCAAUCACAACGGCAAAGAGGAAGCGAAGGUGCCGCAGUUUCGACCGCAGCGCUGCCCUAGAGCCGUUCCCUCGUUAUCAACGUUCGUCUCGGAGGCUAGCUUGGCAUCGGUUCGGUGGUUAGGCGAGUGGCUCGAGCCAGGGUCAUCGGAAGCGACUGCUCAGAGCACUUCCCGUCAAACGGCCUUUCUCGAGGCGGUGAGGGAGACGCUGGAGGAUCGCUUCUACACCUGCGAGGUACUCUACUCCCCAGCCCAGUCGUGCCUGACCCCCUACCGCUUUGAGCGAUGGGUGCUGGAGCAGCUUCCCGGAAAUGUGCGCGUGGUCGGCAUCAACACAUCCCCUUUCGAUGUACUGUACUUCUUUCCUCAGGGCGUGUUUCUGAGCCAGAAGGUGGGCAAUGCCUUCCGCUACCGGGCCGUGGAGAGAACAGUAGUGGCGAAGGAUGUGAUUCCUUCCUGGAGGACGCAUCCACUGCGGCAUGCGGUGACCCAGUUGAAGCGGCUGAGCCGGCGCUGGCGGAGGCGAGGCGAUGAUGUGGCGAGUGGCCUGCACGCCGAGUUCUCACCAUCGGAUCUCGCCGAGCUGAGGCGCGCCGCGCGUGCUGUAUCCCUCUCAACCCCUAAUCCCGAUGCAGCGCCGUGCAGCGAUGCUGCGGGCAUUCCACCGGAAGCUUCAGCAGCGGAGAACGCGUCACAUGCGCUUGUUCGCGAGCGCACGGUAGAGUAUCUGGCUGAACCUUCAAAGAGGACGCUGCUAGGGUUGGCAGUGGCGCGCUUCUUCCGCGUCUAGCAUGCACCUUCCGCGAGUUCUCCGGCCCGUGAUCCUUCCGUGUAUCUCCCUUCAUACACGCAACGCACGCCUUUACAUUAUCGACAUAGCUCUUUUCUACCUUCGCUCGCCAUCGCUGGGACUUCGC